rnacentral:misc_RNA from 1 species
AAGUCGUAACAAGGUUUCCGUAGGUGAACCUGCGGAAGGAUCAUUAAAAAUUUUAUCGAUACCUAAUUUGUUGGUCUUCGAUUAAAAAUUGUUGUGCGCACCGUUUCGUUUCUCCUUGGCAGGGGCUUUGGUUCUUUGGGAAGUAAAAUUCUCAUUUUUUUUCAAACUUUCGCACUGGCUCCAUCCCUAUUCUUCUUUUUUGAGGUUUGGGGACAGCCGGCGUGUAAAGCCGUUUCCCUGCCGAGGAAAUCCAUAAAACACGCUUUUUUUUUGCAAAAACCUCUUGUCUGAAAAUUUUUUUUUGCGAUUGCGAAAGGCACGCAUAAAACCAAAUAUAACUUUCAACAACGGAUCUCUUGGCUCUC